rnacentral:rRNA from 1 species
GGGAAUAUUUCACAAUGGUCGAAAGCCUUAUGCAGCAACGCCGCGUGAGUGAUGAAGGCCCUCGGGUCGUAAAACUCUGUCCUCAAGGAAGAUAAUGACGGUACUUGAGGAGGAAGCCCCGGCUAACUACGUGCCAGCAGCCGCGGUAAUACGUAGGGGGCUAGCGUUAUCCGGAUUUACUGGGCGUAAAGGGUGCGUAGGCGGUCUUUCAAGUCAGGAGUGAAAGGCUACGGCUCAACCGUAGUAAGCUCUUGAAACUGGGAGACUUGAGUGCAGGAGAGGAGAGUGGAAUUCCUAGUGUAGCGGUGAAAUGCGUAGAUAUUAGGAGGAACACCAGUUGCGAAGGCGGCUCUCUGGACUGUAACUGACGCUGAGGCACGAAAGCGUGGGGAGCAAACA